AGCAGUUGAGGUGGAAGACUUUGCUCCGGGCCUUGCGCACCAGGUCGCUGGGAGAGAUACCUUGCGCACAGCCGGCGCACUUUGUGCCAAAGCGCCUGUGGAUACAAGGCUCCUGUCAGUGUGAGGGUUACCUGAGAGAACUGCUAGAUCCCCUAGCUAUCAGGAGCUGGGGACAGAAGACUCUCAGAAGAGUACAUUCUGGAAACAGGAAGUCAGUUUCUACACACACACACACACACACACACACACACACACACCCUCCUCCCCCAUCUCUGGCUCUGGCAGGCAGCAGAACGGGAACAGAAGCAAAGCUGAUCUUAGGUCCUGCCCAGCCAAGCCCUGGGAUCAUUCUAAAGCCCUCUUUCCCUUGCCUCUGAACAAAUCCUCUUUCUUCCUUCGGCUCUGGAAGAAAGUACCCCCCCCCCAUGAGCACACAAUGGGUGGUGCAGAACCUAAAGGAAGGGGUACAGGUUAUGUGGCAAGGAAGAAAAGGGCUCAGAGCCCUGGGGGACCCCUUCGGCCACUCACACCCAUGUCUCUAAACAGAGUGAAUUUGGGUGACAUUGAUGUAGUGAGAGCAUUAGAAACCAUAAGUCACUUUUGGCCUUAUCCGGCAGCAUAAUUGGCUAUAUACACCUUAUCAAAAAUCAUUAGGUACUUUGCAAGCAUGCCACAUUAGGGGCGCCAGGGCCUCUGGGGCCGGGGAGUUUACACGUGUAAAGGCGAGGCUGACAUUUUCUCCUAUUCAAAUUCCCAAGUGCCCGGCCACUGGGGCAGGCGGCUGCCUUUCUCCUCUGCCGAGCUAAUCACGCCCCCUCAGUGCCUGGAAUUCAGACUCACAAAGCCAGUCUGGGUGCCGGGUGGAAGUAAGAAGAAAGCGCAGCUACCCCAAAACCCCACGCGUUUCUAGGCUACCCCUUAGCAUUUCCCAUUUUGGGAAACUGAGGCCCACAGAGACACUGGGUCCUGCCUGGCCUGCCUGAGGAGCCAAUAUGGACUUGGGAAGGGAGAACAGAGCAGAUCUCAAAACAGAUCUGCUGAUUCUCAGCUUCCACUUCUUCAGUGCCUUUCCAACUAGGGAGAAAAUUAAUCAGGGGCGAGGGUGGGGGUGGCAAAGGGAAGGUUCUCGUCCUCCAUCUCCAGAAGAUCCCUUCUUAGCUAGGGUACUUUGGGAGUGGGAAGUUUCUGUUUGUCCUCAGAUUACCCUCUGGGCUUAGGAUCUCUGUUUGGAACAAGAAGCUCUCAGCUGCUCUGAACUCCUGGCACGCCUUUGGGAUCUGGAAAGGAGAGUCUUGAAGCUUCUGUCCUGGGGACUCAGGUGUGGGGAAGGGGCCCAGAGCAAGUUGCUCAGCUUCUGGCCUUUGCCAUCUGGCCGGUCUCUGCUGCUGCCCGGCAGACCCAAGGUGAGGGGGCCAAACAGCGUCCUCUUUCCUCCUAUCAGCCUCAGCAUCCCACAGACAAGAGGACAGGGCUUGAGGAGGGCAGAGGCCUAUCUGCCCACCCACCUCCCAAGCUGGAGUGGGUCUCUUGGUCCCUUAAUUCCCAAGGAGCCAGGGCGGAGCUCAGGCCAGCCAGUGGUAGGCAGCAGGGCGCGGCGGGGCCUCUUACCUGAAGAAGUCGUUUUUACAGUACAGCUUGCCCUCCCGGGAGAAACACUUCUCCGAGAGGUUGGUUUUGCACUCGCAGCAUUGAACACAUUUGAUAUGCCACGCGCGGUCCAGCACGUUCAGCAGAAAGCGGUCGAGGAUGGGCCGCUCACAGCCGGCACAGUGCACCAUCAUAGCCGCGCGCCCCGGCGGCUCGGGCCGCCUCGUCCUCCUUGGGGCCCCUGGGCCCUUAGGGCCUCUCGGUCCCCGCUGCUGUGGCUCUCAGCCCCCCUGGUCUGUGGUCUUCGGUAGGGUCGAGUCCGAUACAGAUCAACCAAGACUUCUCGGGGUCAAGUCCUCCGACGCUCUCCGGCCUGGCACUGCACUGCCCAGAGUGGCGUGGAGGGCGGCGGCGGUCACAGCCUCAUGUCACGGGUCGCGUCUGGGCGCUCGCUCCAGCUUCGAGCAGGUGUCCUCGGCGGCUGCUGGCUUCGGCACUGGCGAGCGGCUUUCCCGGUUGGCGGAGGCGCCGGCACUUUCCCCCACUUUCAAGCGGUCCCGAUCCUCAUCUUUGUCUGGCCGCCGCCUAAUUCGCGCAUCCUUAUUCAGAUUUGGUGACGUGGUGCGGCACGUAGGGGGCCGGGCGGCCAAUGGGCGCGCCGUGGCCAUAGCAACCUCUUAAAUUUAUAGCAUAUCUAAAUUGGCUACAGCGUUGCGGUCAGGACAGAGCAAAAAAAACAAGACAUCAGUAUUGCCGAGUAUUUGCUAGUACCUGGUUCCCAAGCUAACUGGGGACCGAACCCAGGGCCUUGCACUUCCUAGCUCCACGAGGCCAGGGAGAGUGUGCUUGUCUUGUUCGUUGUUGGAUUUCCUAUGCGUGAUUCAGUACCUGCAGUACAGCUGUUCAAUACGUGCCUGAUAACUGGAUACGUAAUGGACAAACCCAUAGAGAGGGGAUCUCUCACUGAAGCUGCAGCUCCCUGAUUCCACCAGACUGUCUGGUCAGCAGUCACCAGGAGUUGUGCAUAUCUGUAUCUGCCGGGAAGUUCACUGAUGCCUUGAAUAACUAAUUAAUUAAUUAGUUUGUUUGUUUUUACAAACAACUCAGAUUUUCAUGCCCAUACGCCAAGCACGUUCCUAACUGAGCUGUCUCCAAGCUCUCGGAGUUUGUGGGUAUUUUCAGGAGAUGCCUUCCUUCUCCAGAAAGAGUGGAACAGGCACAGAUGAAUUCAGUCUGCUGAGUCUGGAAAAGAGGAAAGAGGAGAAAGGCUGCCUUUUUUCUAGAAUGUUCCCCGUGAGCUAUGCGCAUGUACCAUGAAGGCUUACUUGGACCCAGAGCUGAGGAUGACCUAACUGGGGUUUCCUUUGGCUCAAUGUGGCCUCUUUUGCUCCACAAAGCAGCCUUCUUUUAACAAAAUAAAAAUGUUCUACAAGGA